AUUACUGCAGAGUAAAAAUGAAGAGCUGUUAAAAGUGAUUGAAAAUCAGAAAGAUGAAAACAAAAAAUUUAGUAGUAUAUUUAAAGACAAAGAUCAAACUAUACUUGAAAAUAAACAGCAAUAUGAUAUUGAGAUAACAAGAAUAAAAAUUGAAUUGGAGGAAGCCCUAGUCAAUGUGAAAAGCUCCCAGUUUAAGUUAGAAACUGCUGAAAAGGAAAACCAGAUAUUGGGGAUAACAUUACGUCAGCGUGAUGCUGAGGUGACUCGACUAAGAGAAUUAACCAGGUAAAAUUGACUUCCUUUGAAUAACUCAUGCCUUUUUUAUUUUUAGAUGUUUUUAUAAACUUCAAAAUAAUGUUAGACCUGUUUUCUCCCCCAUAUCUUUUUCUCUUAUUUUGCCAAUGUUUUUGCUAAUUUCUAAUGAUGUUUUCUUCUGUUCCAAUUAAAUUAGUUUAGGAAUUUCAAACCUGGCGAAAUGUUUUUUUAAAACCAUGUGAUUCUGGGCAGGGGGUCCUGAUGAGAAGCUGAAGACUUGUAUAGCAACACCAUUGAGCCCUCUGGUUCUGAAGCUAGAGAGAUCUGACUGGAAUCCCAGCUCUGCCACAUAUUAGCUGA
rnacentral:lncRNA from 10 species